rnacentral:rRNA from 1 species
UACGUAGGGUGCGAGCGUUAAUCGGAAUUACUGGGCGUAAAGGGCUCGUAGGCGGCCAACUAAGUCAGACGUGAAAUCCCUCGGCUUAACCGGGGAACUGCGUCUGAUACUGGAUGGCUUGAGUUUGGGAGAGGGAUGCGGAAUUCCAGGUGUAGCGGUGAAAUGCGUAGAUAUCUGGAGGAACACCGGUGGCGAAGGCGGCAUCCUGGACCAACACUGACGCUAAGGCGCGAAAGCGUGGGGAGCGAACAGG